AAACAAGCCGAGUAAUAAUAAAAUACAUUGCCAAGAGAUGCUCUUCUUAUGGUUUACGGUUAGACGUGAGAGACAGGAAGGCGAUGAAGCGACGCCGGCGGGAGUGGGGACCCGCAGGCGGAGCACACGAGUCGACAGGGCCAGGACGCUCGGGGCGUCGUCUCCGUCGUGCUCCUCCUCCUCAUCGGCCGCCCGUCUGCCCCUUGUUGCGACAACGUUCCCUGCAGUAGCAGUUCGGAGGAGGAGGGCGGUGCUGGCGACGCUGAAUGCGCGCACCGAGCCGUCGCUGAAGCCGCACGCGAGCAGCUGGCGCACCGGGUGGCAGCACACGACACACGGCACCACCGCCAGCGUCGAGAAGUCCAGCAGCUGCCGCGCAUGAGCACAGGGCAACAAGACGGUAAUGACACGGUAGUGACAUGGUGAUGACACUGCAAUGACACGGCGACGACACGGCGACGACAGGAUAACGACACUGCAAUAAAACGGCCACCAUAACAGCACGGUGGCGCAGCGCUCCGUCUGCCGAACAGCCCAGCACGGGCCCGGCGUGCGAGCGCGCCAGCGUGGCGUAGUGGCGCGACGCCACCUCCAGGAAGCCCAGGCUGGCGCCCGCGGGC